rnacentral:lncRNA from 1 species
AUGCUCUGAUACCAAUCUGUCACACCCCAAAACCGAGAACGGCGGAAACGUUCUGGGGCGGAGGACGUCAUGUAAUGUAUCACAACCAAUGUAAAGUAGUAAACAAGCAACAACAUCGUCCAUUGCAUUAAUAGUAAAAGUUUAAUACAUGUGUGUUCUUUCAUAGUAAUAAGACAUUACAACAAGUAAUCAAAAUAAAGACGAGUCUUGACUGCUCUGUCUUCGCAAAACCUGGUCAUCGUACCUAUCUACUGGUGACCUGAGAAUACAAGUUAUUUUGAAAGUGUAGGUCAGCAUUUAAGCUGGUGAGUUCAUAAGUAUUUAAUGUCAUUGUUUGUAUAAGUAUGAAGAAAACAUUUUGAAUUAUUCAAUGUAACUGUUUGUAUAUGUAUGAAGAAAACAUUUGGAAUUAUUCAACGUAACUGUUUGUAUAAGUUUGAAGAAAACAUUUGAAAUUAAUCAAUGUAAUUGUUCGUAUAAGUUUGAUGAUAACGUUUGGAAUUAAUCAAUGUAAUUGUUCGUAUAAGUUUAAAGAUAACGUUUGGAAAUAAUCAAUGUAAUUGUUCGUAUAAGUUUGAAGAAAACGUUUGGAAUUAAUCAAUGUAAUUGUUCGUAUAAGUAUAAAGAUAACGUUUGGAAUUAAUCAAUGUAAUUGUUCGUAUAAGUAUGAAGACAGUGUUUGAAAUUGUUCUACAUUUGUAUAAAACUGAAUAAAAUGGUUUGUACAUGUUUGAAAGUUUCUAGAAAAUCCCAUAUUUUCUACUAGUAUAAAAGUAGUCUUCUACCAAGACUCGACUGUUUUGUAUGUUUACCUUUAGAAAUCCAGUAUCUUUUCAUAAGUGUGUAUGUAGUUUAAAAACUCCAAAACUAUAACAAAAUGAUGUUUUUCAUGCCUAAAUAAUAGAUUUGUGUAAAUAUAAAAUCACUAAGGCAUUUGAUAACCCCGUAAACCAAUGUGUUUCUAAUACUCCAUGUGAGUUUUAUAACCAUACUAAUGACCCAGACUGCCUGUAACAACGUUCUUCAGGCGUUGAAAUGUUAUGACGUUUAUCACCCCAGGCUUGCCGGCCUAGCUGUAGCUAACAUAUCAGGUGCGGGAUUGUCAAUCCUGUAUAGAUCUAUACACAAAUAUCACGCUCCCCCUACAAGGGAUUAUGGUAUAUAAUACAGGACUUAAUAAUGCAUACUCGAAAGUACGUGAACCGUCUCACAAAACUUAGUAUAAAACAGAUUUACGUAUAAAAAUGUCCAUUUGUUCUUGUAUGUGAAAGUAUCUCUUUGAUAUAAUGUUUCUAGUAUGUAAAUGUUCAUGGUUUUCUCGUAAACUAUACCUAUUAUAGUUAUUCAAAGUGUGUGUUUCGUUCGUAUUGUAAAUCCUAGUGUAAUGCUCACUUGUUAUGUAAAGUAUAACAUCUAAAGUGACAUAAAUGAUCACAUAUACUUAAAGUAUAAAUAAAGUGUUUGAUUCGUGUAUACAUAUAUAAACAUUUUUUAUUUCCAAAAGACAAGAUGUUAUCGAGAAUAUAUAUUGCAUACGAAAGUUCCUAUGAAGUAGUUAUGAAUCACAUAUGAUUCACUCGAUAAAAAGAGUAUAUGGUGAAACUUUAUGUUACACACGAUAAUAACCGUGUGUUUACUUGUAUUCCCCCCCUUUAAAAGUGUAUACAACGAUUUAAAAGUAGUUUUUUUGAUAAGACAGUGUAAAGUAAAAGAAAUCCCUUGUUUGAAAACACGAUUUAAAAGUAGUUUCUUUGAUAAGACAAAGAGUAUAACAACAGAUUUAUGUUUUUCACACGAUGAUAAUCGUGUGUUUACUUGUAUCCCCCCCCCCCUUGAAAGUGUAUAAAAUGCAUUUAUAAAACAUUUGAAUGUGUUGUUUGUAGGGGUAUGAACUCACUUGAUUGAAGUGGUCGAUUUGAAGUAGUCGAGAGAAGAAUCGAGCAGAACUUCGACAGGAAGAGUUGAAAACACGGGAUUCUCCGGAUUCUCGGGAAUCUAGGAAUCUUGNAAUCUUGGGAACACAAAACCUUCCUUCAGGACUUGAAGGUGAAAAACUGGGGCUUUGGGAGGGUCUCGGGGGCUUAAACGUAGAGUUUCGGCGCAAGAAAGAGAGGAACUGAGCAAUGGAACUCGGAGCCCUUGAAACCUAUUUAUAGGGGUAUUUUUGGUGUUCCACGUCGUGGCUAAGUUUGGCCACAUCGUGGGGAGCAAGUCUUAUCCUUUUCCAUUGAUUAGACGCCCUCAGUCACUUGCCGGGUCACGGCAAAGUUGUGCCACGUCGUGGCAAGCCUAACAGCCUCGAAUUUCGGGCCUCGAACUUGUAAAAUCCAUAACUUUUGCGUACGAGCUCCGUUUUCGUCGUUCUUUAUAUGCACGCGUAGCUAAAAAUAUGAUCUAGAACUCUCGUUUAGACUUCAUCGGCAAAUUUUGACUUUAUUUUUAAUUAUUUAUUUUUAACGGGUCGGGACACGAAAAGUCCGUUAAAAUUCCCUAACUUCUUCAUCCGAUGUCCGUUUUCGUCAGACUUUUCGCCGUUGCGCUACUAUUUUUUUGAGACCUUCGAUUCUCAUUUAGGUUGUUUCGGUCAAAAGUCUCUCAAGCUCUUUUUCGAAUUUUUAGCUGUCUACUGCCAUAUCCGGAUCUUGGAAAAAUCAUAACUUCCUCAUACGAAGUCAGAUUUGGACCUUCUUUUUAAGUACGCUCAUGGUUUAAUGUUAUCUACAAAUUUCAUUUGGAUACUUAAGACUAAAAACUAUUGUAUUGAAACUUCGCGUUUUUCGUUUAAUCGGUGUUGCCAGUUUUAUCUGGAAUUUUAGAAUGGUUAUAACUUCCUCGUUAUAACUCGGAUUUUUGUGUUCUUUAUAUGUAUGAAAACCUUGAUACGAUUCCUACCACUUUAUUUAACCCAAAUAAGAUUUUAGAAAAGUUAUAUUUUGACCUAAAUUUGACUGGUGUUACAUUACAUUGUCUCGAAAUAUCGGGUUGUCACAUAGGAUGAGAUUAGCACAGAGUGCAACAGUAGUAGAAGGGUCUUGGUGAAGUCGAAGCAAUCCUUGAGGAAUGUACGGAUAAAUGUGGAAGGUAGUAUGAGCCCAUACUACUGAAAGCAGAGGAUCCGUACUCGAGUCAAGGAGGGCCGAGAUAGAACCUCGGAACUUAUAGUGUGUCUGAGACCUCUAGAGAUUAUGUAUGACCCUGACACUUAUAUAUUUUGUUUGAGAAUGGUGGUGAUUACGCGACACGGAGCAGGAGGAUCGAGAUCAGGGUCAGCAUCAGGUUCGGGUGCAGGUUUCGAGUCAGUUGAUGAGGGACUACGCGAUUUUGUUGUGUCUGAGAUCACAAGAGGCGUCCUUAAGUCGACCCCGGUGAUUUCCGGGUUGAUAAACGACAUGGCAUCUGGCCAGGCGGGGAAACACACACUAUCCUUCAAUGAUUUCAGGGGUUGUGGUGCGCCAGACUUCCACGGGGUGAAGGACGCCAUUUUUGCUAGGAGGUGGAUUACAAACAUGGAGUCUUCUCAGUUGACGAGCUUUUGCUUUGAGGGGUCCAAGGUUCGGUAUGUUGCAGGUUGUUUAAGGGACAAAGCUAGAGAUUGGUGGGAAUUAGUUGGUGAUUCACUGGGAGCCUCAACUAUUGAGGCUAUGCCUUGGUCGGAUUUUGUGGCCAGGUUUAGGGUUGAGUUUACACUGGCUGUUGAGCUUCAGCAGCUGUCCAGGGAGUUCUUGGAUAUGAGGCAGCCGACUGAGUCGGUGGCGGAGAUUUCUGCCAAGUUCAGGGAGAGGGCCUUAUUGGUGCCUCAAUAUGCAAGGGAUGAGGUGAUGUGGAAGACCCGCUACCACGACAUGUUGAGGGCUGACAUUCAGAAACAUGUCAGCUACUCAUCAUGGCCCACAUUGGAGGACAUGAUUCCGAGGGCGAGGGAGAAGGAGAUUGAUAUAGAGCAACUCAAAAAGAGGAAGCCACAUGAGGGGGUUUGUAGACUAGGGUCAUGGGGCGGCUAUAAGUGCGGCAAGACUAGGCACUUUGGCGAAAAUUGAACUAACCUAACCCCACCUUUCAGACAUGAGACCUGAUUUGCUUCCAUUGCAAUCUGAAGGGCCAUAAAAAGGCCGACUGUCCGAGGAUAGUCCCAGCAGCGUUAGUGACGACACCAGCUUCAGCGAACCUGCGGAUUACGGAUGGCCGACAGGGCAAGACAGAUGCUCCAGUGGUGAAGAGCCAAGCCUUCUAGUUGACCGCUGAGGAGGCACAUGUCGCACCCGAUGUAGUAACGAGUAUGUUUUCUUCUCCUUAGCUCUUAUUAUAUGUCGUUUAUGAUAUUUAUGUAUAUGUUUUAUGUGUUGUUUAGGAUCGUUCCAUCUGAAUGAUAUCCCAGUCCAGAUGUUAUUCGAUUGGGGAGCUACCCGAUCGUUUGUCUCUAUUGCACUUAGCAAGAGGUUCCCUGAGUCUUCGGGCAUGUUGGAUUGCCAUCUAGAGGUCAAGAUUGCUGAUGACCGAUCAGUACAAGCAUCAGAGGUUAGGGAUUGUGUUUUGAGGCUGUAUGAGGAGCGUUACCUAGUAGACUUGGUUCCCAUUAUGUUGGAUGGGAAUAAGGUUAUCAUAGGCAUGGACUGGUUGAGCCUAAUGGGGCGGUGAUCGACUAUGUCCAGCAGUUGGUACGGGUCAGAACCCCAGGUCGAGGAGAGUUGGUGAUUUAGGGAGAGAGACCGCAGUGUGGACCAACUAUGUGUUCAGCAGCAAGGGUUAGGCGCUACCUACAGUAGGGUUGUGCAGUGUACGUCCCCUAUGUUAUGGAUACCCGGGGGGCGGGUAAAGCAACUAUGAGUGAUGUACCAGUGGUGCGACAGUACUCGGACGUAUUCCCAGAGGAGCUGCCUGGAAUACAUCUAGAGAGACAGGUAGAGUUCAGGAUCGACCUACUCCAUGGUGCAGCUCCGAUAGCCAAGGCACCAUAUCAUUUGGCUCUUCCUGAGAUGUGGGAGUUGUUUACAAUGCUACGGGAGUUGUUAGACUAGGGAUUCAUUAAUCCGAGCAGUUCACCCAGGGUAGCCCCGAUCAUGUUUGUAAAGAAGAACGACAGGUCACAUCGGACGUGUAUAGAUUACCGGGAGCUGAACAAGGUAACAGUGAAUAACCGUUACCCACUCCCGGGGAUUGAUGAUCUCUUCGACCAGCUAUAGGGGGCAUCUUGUAUUCCCAAGAUAGACUUGCGUUCAGGCUACCAUCAGAUGAGGGCCAGAGACGAGGAUGUAUAGAAGACUACUUUCCGGACUCGCUAUAGCUACUAUGAGUUCUUGGUGAUGCCCUUCAGGGUCACCAAUGCUCCUGUCGUACUCAUGGACCUCAUGAAACACGUAUGCAGGCCAAUGCAGGAUCGGUCUUUGAUAGUUUUCAUUGACGACAUCUUGGUUUAGUCCAAGACAUAGGAGCAGCAUGAGGAGCACUUGCGAGAGGUUUUUAACACCCUGAGGAGGGAGAGAUUGUAUGCCAAGUUCUCCAAGUGUGAGUUCUGGUUGCACGAGGUUCAGUUUCUUGGGCACCUUGUCAACCAGAACGGUAUUUUGGUCGACCCGGCCAAAGUAGAGGCUGUGACCAGAUGGGAGGUUCCGAAGUCUCCAUUUGAUAUUCAGUAUUUCCUAGGAUUAGCAGGCUAUAACCAGAGAUUCAUUUAGGACUUCACCAAAAUAGUCGUAGCCUUGACCCGAUUGACGAAGAAUGUCAUGGUCUUUCGUUGGGAGUGUGAACAACAUGCAAUGUUUGAGACGUUGAGACAGAGGCUAUGCGAGGCGCUGAUCCUAACCCUGUUAGAGAGCAUGGAGGAUAUUGUAGUAUAUUGUGAUGCGUCCAUUUCAGGUUUGGACGCGGUAUUGAUGCAUAGGGGCAUGUUAUCGCCUAUGCCUCAAGGCAGCUGAAGCCUCACGAGGCGAACUUCCCGACGCACGAUCUGGAGUUGGGGGCAGUUGUUUUCGCCCAUAAGAUUUGGCAGAAUUACCUCUAUGGGGUCCGAUGUACCAUUUACACGGACCACAAGAGUUUGAGGUACCUCCUGGAUCAGUCGAAUCUGAACAUGGGACAUCAUCGGUGGCUAGAUGUGGUGAAGGAUUACAUUGUGAGAUCCUCUACCACCCGGGGAAGGCCAACGUUGUGGCCGAUGCGUUUAGCCGAAAGUUAGCCCCGAUUAGAGAUAUUUGCUUGAGGAUGAAGGUGGUGACUCCUCUUUUGGAACAAAUUCGAGAGGCGCAAGUGGAGGGUAUGAAGGAGAUGCGGUGAAAGUGCGAGCGAAUCAUAGGCCAGGUGGCCUCGUUUAACUAUGACAUAUGUGGGUUGCUGAACUUGGAUGGGAGGGUUUGGAUUCCAUAAUGGGGCGGAGUAUGACAGAUUUUGAUGGAUGAGGCCCAAAAAUCUAGCUUUUCUAUUCAUCCUGGGGCGAAGAAGAUGUAUAGAGAUCUUUGUCUGAUUAUUAGUGGCACUGUAUGAAGCGAGAUGUAGCCUGGUAUGUUGAUAGAUGCCUGACCUGUAGGAAGGUCAAGGCUAAGCACCGGAGGCCUCACGACAAGACACAACCAUUGGAUAUCCCUAUGUGGAAAUGGGAAGAUAUUACUAUGGAUUUAAUCAAGAAGCUUCCCAGGACCGCGCAGGGAGUGGAUUUGAUUUGGGUCAUCGUGGAUCGAUUGACCAAGAGCAUCCAUUUCAUUCCGAUCCAAGAGAGCAUUUCAGCCGAGAAGCUGACCAAAAUCUACAAUCGAGAGGUAGUAGCAUGACACGGAGUGCCAGUGCCCGUGAUUUAUGACAGAGACGUAAGGUUCACUUCCAGAUUCUGGAAGAAGUUUCACGAUGAGUUGGGUACUCAUUUGCACUUUAGCACCAUUUUCACCUGUAGACGGAUGGUCAGAGCAAGCGGACCAUCCAGACCUUGGAGGAUAUGCUGAAGGCAUGCGUUUUAGACUUUGGUGGUAGCUAAGAUACCUACCUUCCCUUGUUAGAGUUUUCCUACAAUAAUAGCUACCAUGCGAGUAUUGACCGUCCUCCUUUCGAGAUGUUAUACGAGAGGAAGUGCAGGACCCCGAUAUGUUGGGGUGAGGUUGGGAAGAGGGUCAUCUGGAGUACCGAAGUGGUACUCAAGACGAAGGAGAGGAUCCAGCAGGUUCGGAGUAGCUUCAGACUACUUAGAGUCGGCAGAAAAGUUAUGCCAACAAGUUCCGUUCGGACCAGGAGUUCCAAGUCGGGGAUAUGAUCCUCUUGAAGGUGUCACCUUAGAAAGGUGCCAUUCGGUUCAGGAAGCGGGGAAAAUUAGGCCAAGGUACAUCGGUCCCUUUAGGGUUCCAACUCGGGUGGGCAAGGUGGGGUAUAGGCUAGAUCUGCCAGCCGAGGUUAGCCAGAUUUACAGUACCUUUCACGUCUCCCAACUGUGGAAAUGCCUGGUAAACGACUCUAUAAUGGUGCUUCUAGAGGAUAUUUUGGUGGAUGACAACUUGAACUACAUCGAGAGACCAGUAGCUAUCCUCUACAUGAAUUUGAAGGAUCUGAGGAACAAGAGGGUCGAGCUAGUGAAGGUGUAAUGGUAGUACCACAAGGGAUCAAAAUGGACUUGGGAGCUGGAGGACAAGAUGAUGGAGCACUACCCCGAGCUUUUUCCAGAUGCAGCAACAAACUUUGAGGACGAAGUCUAAAAAAUGUAAGGGAGAGUUGAAAUGCCCGGUACGUAUUUUAAAUAUAAGUUUUUGCAUUUUUAUACUGGGACUCGACGAGUUGAGGCCCAAAACUCGUUGAGUAGGGACGAAUCUUGGACGCGGGUGGAAGAGUCUACUCGAUGAGUCGGAAUACCUGACUCGACGAGUAGAUCUGUCUAAAUGAAACCCUAAAUUUUAGGGUUUUCACCCUAUUUAAACAACUUAUAUGGCCUCCACUCCAGCCUCCAUCACCCUCAGAACUUAUUCACGAAACCCUAAUCGAAUUUUGAGUGUUCUUGAGCUAUUUUUGUGCCAUUUUUGUGAUUUGAAGCUUGAAGAAGGCAGUAGAUCCAGAGCUUGGGUUGCAAUUCCAGGUUGUUUGAGGUAAAAAGCUUCAUCCUAGGCUUUCCAUCACAUAGAUCUUCUUUAGGGCUUGCAUAUUGUCAUUUUUGGUCCAUUUCUAAGUCACUUUUGGGAUUUGAGUGCAUAUGAGAGUAAUGACUUUAGAUCUAGGAUCAUUUAAACUAUGGAAGCUUAAAGUUGUCGCCUUUAUUGAGCUAUGACCCUAUGCCAAGCAUUAAAACUCAUUUAUGGCAGAGUUUUGGUGUUUUAGCUUCAGAACACCUGUGCAUGCAUGUAAAGUUUGUAACUUUAUUUGUUAUAUCGACCCUAAGAGGUCGAAUCUAUGUUUUGGAUGCAAUAAGCCUGACCGAAAUCGAUUGUAUGGACUUGGAGUUUGGGGGACUAGACAAGUCGUUCAUAGGACUCGACGAGUCGGGUCAUGGUUCCCCAAACUUUUCUGUUUUUGAGCAAUUUGGUUGAGUCUAGAAGAGGACUCAACAAGAUGGACAUGAACAUGGACUUGAAGAUCAAAGAACUCGACGAGUUCAAGGGUGAACUCGAUGGGUUCAAGGGAAUGUCCCGACUGAUAUGAAGAAGAACUCAACGAGUUCCAGGAAGAACUCGGUGAGUUGAGGGCUAAAUGUUCCAUCUUACAUGAAGCAUGUCUUGAUGUGUUCAAGGAUGAACUCGAUGAGUCAUGAGCAAAAGGUCCCGAUUCUGUAUGUACGAAAACUCGAUGAGUUCUUGAAAGACUCGAUAAGUAGGAUCAAAGUUGCAGUAAUUUGUGGAUUAUGGAACUCGAGGAGUUAUUGGACCAACUCGGCGAGUUGAGUCAACCAGAUGUUGACUUUGACUGAAAGUUGACUUUGAACAAGGUGUUGAACUUGACUUUGACUUUGAACUGAGUUGACCCUUGAAAGGGUUACGUGUAUGAAAUGGUAAUUAUGGAAGGUUGUUACAUGUAGGAGUUUGAAAGGAGUUGAUCCCAGUGUUGGGGACAGUUCAGUUACUGGACCACAUAGACGUGAGUUACCUUCCAGUAGAAGUAGGUCUAAGGCCACAAUGCCGGCUCACUAGCAGGAGUAAUUUUGGAUGAUUGUCUUCAUGAUAAUUGUCUGGUUUGCCACUAUCUGUUAUCUUUUAUGUGCUAGCAUGAUAUGAUGUUAUGUGAUAGUGGUAGUAGGGGAAUAGUCCCCAUGUACGGUCGAUAUGGCUAAGGGGUAGGUAGGGCACCCCAGUAUGUCUGAAAGUAUGAUUAUGUUAUGUUUUUAUGUGGUAGUAGUAGGGGUGAAAUAGUCCCUAAAACCUGUUGAGAUAAACUGGAGAAGUAGGUCGGACACCCCGAUACGUCUGACAGGGUUAGGUUAGGCACCUCAGUAUGCCUAGCAGGGGUAGGUUGAGCACCCUGGUAUGCUCAGCAGGGUAGGUCGAGCACCCAAAUAUGCCUGGAAGUAUGUGUUAUGUAUGGUAUGUGGUAUGACGGGGGAACUCACUAAGCUUUGUGCUUACACUUUUCAGUUUUGUUUUCAAGUACCUCAUCAUCAAAGGGGAUGGAUCCAGCACGGUAGCGGCGCAUCUCACACACACACACAAGAUUUCCGUAUUAUGAGAUUCUUGGGAUUGUACUCUGAUAUUGUUACUAUUUUUAUGAUAUGGUUUUGAGACAUGUGAUUAUGAUUUAUGAAAUGGUGAGUCUCGGUGAUGUUUUCUUAUAAAUGUUUUUCUAAAUCGUUAUAUCAAAAUGAAACUUUUGGUCUUUAAAAUUGGGAUAUUACAAGUUGGUAUCAGAGCCUAGGUUUGAGGGAUUCAGACACACUCUCGGGAGUGUCUGAACAUAGAUCGAGGGUUUGAAAUAUUUUCACAAGAAAAUUGUUUUUCCAAAUGUUAAAGUAAUUAGUUUUGAGAAAGAACAAGGUGUGUGAUGCCUGCAAUCGGUGAAGGAUCUAGAAUAGGGAAAAUGAUUUAGGAAAGAUGCCUUUUCUGCCUACUGUAGGUGUAUGAGAACUACAUGCUAGAAUAGGGCUAAGGAUCUAGGAAGAUGCCUGAUAUGCCUGUUGUACGUGCUUAUUGAACUACAUGAUAGUGUUGAUUAGUUAAGUGAUAUGAUAGUCGGGAUAGGAUAUGCUUGGUUUGGGUUACCCAAUGCCCGAAUGUUGCUUGCUUGUGCUAGUAGGAGUUCUAGCUAUAUUUAGUUAACUAGUAAACGAAUAUAUUAAAUUACAUAUUGUGAGGACAAAAUAAUUUCAGAAGGUUACGUCAAGCCAUAUUUCGCAGCUUUUGUCUGAGUCCAACCAUUGUAGGGAAGGACCUCUCAUUCGAAGAAUUUUCUGGUCUUAGUGUUAUGUAAUGGUAUUUGCAAGCUAGUUAGGUGAAGGUAGCAGGUACUUCUUACGUAGCUGAUGGCGGAGAGUGAGUUGGAUGGUUACCCUAGGGUAAGCCUAGGAUGAUAUUAGCAUAGAGUGCAACAGUCGUAGAAGGGUCUUAGUGAAGUCGAAGCAAUCCUUGAGGAAAGUACGGAUAGAUGUGGAAGGUAGUAUGAGCCCUGACUAAUAAAAGCAUAGGAUCCGUACUCAAGUCAAGGAGGGCCGAGAUAGAACUUGAUAACUUAUCGAGUGUCUGAGACCUCUCGAGAUUAUGUAUGACCCUGACACUUAUAUAUUUUGUUUGAGAAUGGUGGUGAUUACGCGACACGGAGCAGGAGGAUCGAGAUCAGGGUCAACAUCAGGUUCGGGUGCAGGUUUCGAGUCAGUUGAUGAGGGACUAGGAGAUUUUAUUGUGUCUGAGAUCACAAGAGGCGUCCUUAAGUCGACCCCGAUGAUUUCCGGGUUGAUAAAGGAAGGGAUUAUCGACCUGAUGGAAGAUUGCCUCAGGGAGUUCAGGAAUGACAUGGGAUCUGUCCAGGCGGGGAAACACACACUAUCCUUCAAGGAUUUCAGGGGAUGUGGUGCGCCAGACUUCCACGGGGUGAAGGACGCGAUUAUUUCCAGGAGGUGGAUUACAAACAUGGAGUCUUCUCAGUUGACGUGAUUUUGCUUUGAGGGGUCGAUGGUCCGGUAUGUUGCAGGUUGUUUGAGGGACAAAGCUAGAGAUUAGUGGGAAUUAGUUGGAGAUUCACUGGGAGCCUCAACCACUGAGGCUAUGCCUUGGUCGGAUUUUGUGGCUAGGUUUAGGGCUGAGUUUACAUCGGCUGUUGAGCCUCAGCAGCUGUCCAUGGAGUUCUUGGAUAUGAGGCAGUCGACUGAGUCGGUGGCAGAGAUUACCGCCAAGUUCAGGGAGAGGGCCUUAUUGGUGCCUCAGUAUGCAAGGGAUGAGGUCAUGUGGAAGACCCGCUACCACGACAUGUUGGGGGCUGACAUUCGGAAGCAUGUCAGCUACUCAUCAUUCCCCACAUUGGAGGACAUGAUUCCGAGGGCGAGGGAGAAGGAGAUUGAUAUAGAGCACCUCAGAAAGAGGAAGGCGAAGACUGGACGGGUUAAUGGGGUUUCGGGGAAGAAACCCAAGGGAUCCAACUCUAGGUCAAAGGGCCAUCAGGUCCGGAGCCGCUGCAGGAAAUGUGGAAAGCCACAUGAUGGGGUUUGUAGACUAGGGUCAUAGGGCUGCUAUAAGUGCGGCAAGACUAGGCACUUUGGGGAGCAUUGUACUACCCUAACCCCACCUUUCAGACAUGAAACCUGAUUCGCUUCCAUUCCAAUCUGAAGGGCCAUAAAAAGGCCGACUGCCCAAGGAUAGUCCUAGCAGCGCCAGUGGCGACACCAGCUCCAGCGAACCUACGGAUUAUGGAUGGCCGACAGGGCAAGACAAAUGCUCUAGUGGUGAAGAGCCAAGCCUUCUAGUUGACCGCUGAGGAGGCGCGUGCCGCACCCGAUGUAGUAACAGGUAUGUUUUCUUCUCCCUAGCUCUUAUUGUAUGUCGUUUAUGCUAUUUAUGAAUAUAUUUUAUGUGUUGUUUAGGAUUGCUCCAUCUGAAUGAUAUCCCAGUCCAGGUGUUAUUCGAUUGGGGAGCUACCUGAUCGUUUGUCUGUCUUGCACUUAGCAAGAGGUUCCCUGAGUCUUCGGGCAUGUUGGAUUGCCAUCUAGAGGUCAAGAUUGUUGAUGACCGAUCAAUACAUGCAUUAGAGGUUAGGGAUUGUGUUUUGAGGAUGUAUGAGGAGCGUUACCUAGUAGACUUGGUUCCUAUUCUGUUGCAUGGGAAUAAGGUUAUCAUAGGAAUGGACUGGUUGAGCCUAAUGGGGCGGUGAUUCACUAUGUACAGCAGUUGGUACGGGUCAGAACCCUAAGUUGGGGAGAGCUGGUGAUUCAGGGAGAGAGGCCGUAGUGUGGACCAGUUAUGUGUUUAGCAGCAAGGGUUAGACGCCACCUACAGUAGGGUUGUGCAGGGUACGUCGCCUAUGUUAUGGAUACCCAGGGGGCGGGUAAAGCAACUGUGAGUGAUGUACCAAUGGUGCGACAGGACUCAGAUGUAUUCCCAGAGGAGCUUCCUAGGAUACCUCUGGAGAGACAGGUAGAGUUCAGGAUCGACCUAGUCCUUGGUGCAGCUCCGGUGGCCAAGGCGCCAUAUCAGUUGGCUCCUCCUGAGAUGUGGGAGUUGUCUACAAAGCUGCGGGAGCUGUUAGACAUGGGAUUCAUUAAUCCGAGCAGUUUACCCAGGGUAGCCCCGAUCAUGUUUGUAAAGAAGAAGGACGGGUCGCAUCGGACGUGUAUAGAUUACCAAGAGCUGAACAAGGUAACAGUGAAUAACCGUUACCCACUCCCGAGGAUUAAUGAUCUCUUCGACCAGCUACAGGGGGCAUCUUGUAUUUACAAGAUAGACUUGCGUUCAGGCUACCAUCAGAUGUGGCUUAGAGACGAGGAUGUACAGAAGACUACUUUCCGGACUCGCUAUGGCCUCUACGAGUAUGUGGUGAUGCCCUUCGGGCUCAUCAAUGCUCUUGCCGUAUUCAUGGAUCUCAUGAAACACGUAUGCAGACCAAUGUCGGAUCGGUCUUUGAUAGUUUUCAUUGACGACAUCUUGGCACACCAUGCAGUCUAACUAUUUCUCUGAUGUAAGUUCUUAUUAGCUUCUCCAUCUUUUCGGUUUCUUUUAUUGCUAAGACGUGCGCGAAUUUGCUCAGUCUAUCAACAAUUACCCAGAUAGUAUCAUAACCACCCAUUGUCUUGGGUAACUUAGCUAUGAAAUCCAUCGUAAUCCGCUCCCACUUCCAUUUAGGGAUUUCAGGUUGUUGCAAUAGACCUAAAGGUUUCUGGUACUCUAGCUUGACUUUGGCACAAGUAAGGUACUCGCCAACACAGGUAGCAAUCUCGACCUUCAUGUUAGGCCACCAGUAAAGUUUCUUAAGAUCCAGAUACAUUUUUUCUGAGCCUGGAUGAAUGGAGUAUCGGGUUUUGUGUACUUCAUUGAUAACUACGUCUCUGUAACCACCGAACUUUGGUGUCCAGAUCCGGUUCAUGAAACAAUAGACUCCAUCACGUCUGACUUCGAAGUUCUUAUCCAUUCCUCUCAGGGUUUCACCUGCCACGUUUUCAGGUUUUAAGGCCUUGAGUUGAGCCUCUUUAAUCUGUGUGGACAUAUGUGAAUGGAUUGUCAUGGUCAACGACUUUACUCGGCAUCCCGAGUAUUCUUUUCUGCUAAGGGCGUUAGCUACUAUAUUGGCUUUACCAGGGUGAUAAUGAAUCCCGCAUUCGUAAUCGUUUAGUAGCUCAACCCACCGUCGUUGUCUCAUGUUCUGUUCCUUCUGGCCGAAGAUAUGCUGAAUACUUUUGUGUUCCGUGAAUAUUAUGCAUUUUGUUCCAUAUAAGUAAUGUCUCCAGAUCUUCAGAUCAAAUACCACUACUCUUUGUUCAAGGUCAUGUGUUGUAUAGUUGACCUCAUUUGUCUUGAGUUGCCUCAAGGAGUAGGAUAUAACAUUUCCUCGUUUCAUAAGAACACAUCCAAGCCCUUGGUUAGAAGCAUCACAAUACACUACAAAGUCUUUUGUCCCUUCAGGAAGAGACAAGAUCGGUGCACUGAAUAGGGCUUGUUUUAGCGUUUGGAACGCUGCUUCUUGUUUCUCUCCCCAGCUAAAAAUCACACCUUUUUAUGUCAGGGUGGUAAGUGGUUUAGCAAUUCGGGAGAAAUUUUGGAUGAAUUUGCGAUAGUAGCCAACAAGACCUAAGAAUUGUCAGAUUUCUGUAGAUGUUUUGGGUGCUGACCAGUUCUCAAUUGCAUUGAUUUUGGAAGGGUCCACAUGAAUUCCCUCUUGACUAAACAUGUAGCCUAGGAAAUAUACCUUCCUGAUCCAAAAUUCACAUUUUGAGAACUUCACGUAAAGUUUCUUUGUUCUCAGGGUUUGUAAUACUUGACGAAGAUGUUGGCCAUGCUCCUCUUCACUUCUUGAGUAGAUAAGGAUGUCAUCAAUGAAUACUAUGACAAAUUUUUCCAGGUACGGAUGACACACUCUAUUCAUUAAAUCCAUGAACACAGCAGGUGCAUUUGUCAAUCGGAAAGGCAUCACGACAAAAUCGUAAUGACCAUAACGAGUUCUAAAAGUUGUUUUGGAACGUCUACCUCCAAAAUUCAUAACUGGUGAUACCCAAAUCUUAAGUCUAUUUUCGAAAAGUAGUUUGCACCUUGAAGUUGGUCGAAAAGAUCAUCAAUUCGAGGCAGAGGAUAACGGUUCUUAAUGGUAAGUUUAUUCAGCUCGCGAUAGUCUAUGCACAUGCGGAAUGUUCAAUCCUUUUUAUCAACGAACAAGACCAGUGCUCCCAAUGGUGAGAAACUUGGUCUUAUAAAUAAUUUGUUAAGGAGUUUGUUCAGUUGGCUGGACAAUUCCUGCAUUUCUGAUGGUGCAAGACGAUAUGGGGAUUUGGCUACAAGGGUAGCCCGAGGGAUUAAGUCGAUUCUGAAUUUUACUUGUCGUUCUGGUGGCACUCUUGGGAGAUCGUCGGGAAAUAUGUCAGGAAAAUUGUAAACCGCAGGAAUGCUCAUGAUUUCUUUCACUUCUUGCUUUUUCUCUACCACAUGAGCUAAGAAAGAACAGUACUCCUUGCAAAGAUACUUUGUUCCUUGAUACAAGAAAUGAGCCAAAGGUUCGAUCCGGGUUUGUCACCGUAGACGAUAAAAGUUUCAUUAUUCGGCAAGUUCAGGCAUACGACUCUUUCGUAACAUAGGAUGUCGGCAUGGUUAGAACACAACCAAUCCAUACCAAUAAUGACGUCGAAACUUUUGAUAGAGACCGACAUAAGGUCUAUUGUGAAAGAAAAGUUAUUCAAGGUAAGGGUACAUGCUAUGUAUAUAUCGUUAGUGUAUUCGGAUUUCCCAUUGGCCAUUUCUACUGUGAAGGUUUCCUUUGGUGGUUGGGAGUUUUGUUUUAGUAGGUUCUCGAAAUUUUGACUCACGAAGCUCUUCUCAGCACCACAAUCAAAUAGAAUGCAUGCAAAAGUAUUGUUGAGAAGAAAUGUACCUGUGACCAAUUGCUAGUAUCCUUCCAACUCCACUGGCCUUUUCAGCUUUCAGACAAUCUCUUUUGAAAUUUCCAACCUCCCCGUAUCCAUAACACGCUUGACCUACUCCAGCUACAGGUACUUGGCUAAUCGGUUGGGGUGGUGAUUUACAGAAUCAGGCAGUAUGCCCUUUUCUGUUGCAGUUAAGACACUGUAUUUCUCAACAAUUUCGUUGUGGUGGGAAUUAAACCUGUUACAUUUAGGGAGUUUACCAUCAUAAGGCUUAGUUGGUGUGGGGUUAGCAGGAACAACAAUAGGUACAAUAGCAGCAUGGACUGCCAAUAAUUGUUGCUUUUUCGAGGGCUCUUGAGAAGAUUGGCCCAUCCUUUUAUUCCAGGUUUUCUUCUUGUUAUUGUUUUUGUUUCCUUUGGGUUGUUCUGGAGCAGCAACCACAAAGUUUUGACGAGCUCCAUGGUCAAUAAGUGACUGUACCAUCACUUUAGCAUUGUCAAAGGUAACAGGCCUGGAAGCAAUCACAUUCCCUGAAUUUGGGGUGACAACCCCCAGAUGUACCUUUCAGUCUUUUUUCUCUCUAGAGUAACCAUACCCGGACAUAGGAUCGCUAAGUCGCUGAAACUAUUAGUGUAGAUUGUUAUGUAUGAACCAACCAUAUUGAGACCCCAAAGCUCUUUUUUGAGCUUCUGUAUUUCACCCCGCGGACAGUAUUCCUGCAUCAACAUUGACUUCAGGUUCUCCCAACUUAUAGAGUUAGCCAGUACUAGAGUCAGUGACUUAACAUGGCCAUUCCACCAUGUUAGGGCUCUAUCAGCAAAGGUACAUGCAACGAAUUUAACCUUGCUGCUUUCCGGACAGGAGCAGAUUUUCAAGACUGCCUCUGUUUUCUCAAUCCAUUAUCUUAAGGCCUUAACUCGCCCAGUCCCGUUAAAGGUCCUGGGUUUGGCAUUUGUAAAGUCCUUGUAGGUACACUCCCGAUGGUGCCCGUGACUUUCACCCUGAUUGGAGGGAUGUGCGCCACUCCCGGAUCCACUUGCGCCAGUGGUGUUUAUAUGUGACAUAGCAGCUGCUACAGGUGCUGUGACUGCCGCCUGAAACAUGGCAGCGUCAAAUUGAGGAGGUGGUGUCGGAGGUGGUGUUGGCGCUUCAUUAACAUUGACACGCCUUGGGUUUCUCCGUGGAGGCAUCUUUCACUUUAAGAAAUAAAAGACGAAGAAAUAGUUAGAUAUCAAAAAUGAACAUGAAUUUGAUAUCUCAGAACUAAAAUACUUAGUUCAAAAAUGAAUCUUGUAAAGAAUUAGAAAUAGAAGUCUACUACAACUACAACUUGUAACAUGAUAAUAUGAAUUUGAGUGGUUAUUUUUCAAAGAGUAUGAAAAUGCAUGUCAAUUGUAUUGGCAUAUUAUGUACAUAGAGUUUGGAAAAUUUGACCUUAAAGCAAGUUUACAAUAUACCCAAAUACUAGGAAAACAUCGACAUCAAACCGACCUACCGAAAAUGAAAUUUUCGUGAUCGUACUGAAAAACAUGAAAAAUAACGCUAGAACAUAUCUAUAGACUUAAACUAUAACCAAAAGAGUAAGUAGUAAACGUGUAGAGUAUGAUCUACUUCCUACUAGAUCCGGCCCUAGAUUUGGCUAAUUUGGCGUUCUAUUUCAUACAUACGCCUUUCUUAUGUUAUUUGUCGUUCUCGCAGUUCUCUAACUUCGGCUUAGGAUGUCGCCAGUUCUCUCAUCAAGAAAUUAGUACGAUCUCUUUUCGCAUAAUGAUUUUCUUCUAGGUUGCGAAUGUGAAUGGUGUUGAUUCCAGUAGCAACAUCAACCUGCAUGACUUGGUCGAUAGCAGCUCUUCCCUACUCAUCGUUACGCGCCACAUGACGAACUAACACCAGGAAGACCCUGUCUAUUGAGCCUCCUGUGUCCAGAUUGUAGAAGCUUCGGUCUCCUUGAUAAGGAUGGUUCUGACCCUGUUCGUCACUCCACCUGUCUAAGUUUAUCGCCCACAGAGGCGUCAGACCUUGGAAGCUUUGUCGUGGAUUGAGAUUCUGGGCAAAUGGUGGUGGAUUAUAGGAUUCUGAUUCUGAAUCGGCAUCUUCAGAAGAACUUUUCUGCAAAAUCAUCAUUUAAGGGAAUUUCAGGAUUCUCUUCUAGCUCUUCAUCGAGCCAUCCUCCAUUUCCCUGAUUGGGAAAGUACGGUUCUCCGGGUAGAUGGAAUUUAACCAUUGUUAUCUAAGUGAGAAUAGGGAUAUAAGAAAUAUCUAAUAUAAUUAGUAAGGAUAAAUUGCAAAUACAAGUUUCUACGAGAGAAACUUACAGUUAACAGAUAAUGAAUUUUGUAUGGCUUGAAUUGAGUAAUUCUAUAACUACAAAGUAUAUACUAAUUAUAUAUAACUCGGGUAGACUAGACCUUCGAAUAAAUGACCCAGUUCUAAGUCUACAACCAAACAAGGAAUAGGAAAUAAAGCUAGAUCACAUAUUCUAAGUCUAUAGAACCUUAAUUAUAUAUAAUUGUAACAUAUACUUAAUAUUUAUAGCUCUACCAGAAUGAUUCUUUUGUUUUCACAUGUUUGUUCUUAGUGUAUAGUGCCUAAAAUACUCCUAUAGUAUUUUAACUUUAUGUUUUGUUCUAGAGUUCUUCUGUACAUGUAUAGUUGGUAAGUUUUAGACUUGCUGCAACGCUGUAUCUCAAACCAAUAUAGUUGAUCAGGCUAUAUUAAUCCCAUAUAUGAUUACAUAACUGUCCAAGUUUGACUGUAGUGUCCAACAUCCAAAUACUUUUGAGUUGUUGUGACUGUGAUACUGUUCUUGUAUGUAUAAGUGUUAGUAUACUUCUUGUAAAAAUACUUAAAAUUUAAAAGUACACUUGUAGUUAGAGCUUUCAGCCCAAAUGUAUUUUUAGUUUGUAUAUGUUUUUUGGAUUGAUAUACUAAGUUCACUAUAAACAAUGCUUUGAUACCAAUCUGUCACAACCCCAAACCAGACGGUGGAAACGUCCGGGGGUGGAUAAAUUUAUUUGUAGUAUCACAACACAUGCAUCAUAGUAAUCAAAGUACAAACAACCCUUGUAUUUAAAAAGUAAAAGUAUUUACAUAUGUUCAAUCACUAUAUAGUGACACCAAAAUAGUUAUAGCAAAAUACCCAAGAAAUGACUCAAAACGCCUCCAUCUUCUCAAAAGCUCGGAAAGUACACGUUUACUGAUUCCCUGAGAAUAUAAGUAAUUUGAAAAGAGAGUAUCAACAUAAAGUUGCGUGAGUGCAUAAGUAUUUAUGUUUGAAUGUAUGUUUUCUGUUCUUUGAAUAUGUAAACUGUUCCAGAAAAUCCUAAAUUUUCUGUUGUAUAUGAAAAAUAGUUUUAAUCUCAUAAAACCGUUCUGUUUGUAAACCAUUGCUCUGUAUUUGUAUUCCUUUGAAAAACUUGUAAAAAUGAGUGUGCCUGGCUCCACCAGCUGUAUUUGUAAACUGUAUCAUUGUACUCUAGUACUUUGAAAAUGUACUCAUGUUUAGUUAAUUAUACACUAAUGUAUUGUUAAUAUAUUUUUAAUGAGUUAUUAUAACGAUACUAUGACUAGAUGGCCUGAAACAAUGCCUUGAAGGCGUUAAACUGUUUAUAAAAAUUGUCACUCGUAGGUGUGUAUGCCCGACUAUAGCUAGCAGUCAGGACUUUAUCUAUGUUGUUUAAAUGAAUUAAACAACCUGAACAUAUUGUCUCAUCAAAAGCAUAUAAACGUUACGUGUAUAAUGAAAACCCAAGCAUUCUGAAAUAAAUGAUUGAUAGUAUGUUCCUUGUUUACCCUUGUUUAGUUUUGAAUAUAUUUUAAAGUUGUAUACCCUUGUUUAGUUUUGAAUCAAACUCUUGUUCUUGUACAAUAAUGUAAACCCAUGUUCUUGUAAAAUAGUGUACUCUAGUAUACUUCACUCGUGAGUUAGUGUUCUUAAAUCAUAAAUUAUACCUAUUAUAAUUUAUAUCUAUUUUCUGUAUUGAUACUAAUUGUUCAUGAAUGCAACCCCUUGCUCGACAUGUUACAAAGGGUAUUGAAAUUUAAUGAAAUAACCUUUAUAUUUCUAUAUACAUAAAACACAUAUAGCUAAAAUUGAAAUGACAGUCGGACAAAUAACCGAUACCCUAAGUCCACAUCCAAACAAGAAAAAGGAAAUAANUAUAUAUAUAUAUAUAUAUAUGAUUUUUGAAGAAAUAUAAGUUUAUAAAAUAUUUUAAAGAGUUUAAUAUUUUAAAACACUUUUGAUAACUUGAUGUCAUUUUAACAGAAUUUGAAACUAUUUGAUUUAAAAAUAUUUGAAAUCCAUUUGUAAGAUAUUUUGAAUCCAUUUAUUUGUAACACAAAAUCCUUUUGUUAGACUUGUAUUCCCCCCCCCCCCNNNNNNNNNNUAAAACAGUAAAAACUAUGAAAAUACAUGGGUAUGAACUCACCUUUUGGUACAUGAUUCAAUUGAUGAUUUGGUAUAGAAUGCUUGGUAUGCCAAGUGAUGUCCCGAGCACAAAUGGGUCCUAUUUAGCAUAUAUUAACAAUUAUAUGUAUGAAAUUAGGGCCUAUAAUAGCUAAUAUGUAAAGGAAACACCCUUAGGAACUAGGACACACUUACAAUAAAGUGUUAGUACCGAAAAUGAAGAGCUGACAGAUUAUCACAGCCACACAAGAGGGUUCGCGACCCUUGAUUGGUUCACGGUUGAAGAACACUUGAAGUGUUCAUGGCCUACAUGAAGGGUUGAUAGCCUUGAGUUCUUGAUGAAUUAAGAACACUUGAUGAUCCUAAGCAAGUUCCUAAGAAUAUUCAAAGGUUUUUAGAUGAAUGUUCUUCGUAUUCUUCGCGAAAACUAGUGAAAUUCAUGGAUUUUAGCCUAGUAUAAUAAGAUUUAAGGGUGUUCUUGAAGUGAUAACAAGAUCAAGAAAGGAUACAUGUUAGAUCUUAUGAAGAACUAGUGAUUAUGACUUGAAAUUGAUGAGAAAGGAUGAUCUUAGUAUGUUGUUGAGGAGAGAGGUUGUUCUUGGCUAAUGAUACCUGAGAGAAAAGGGUUGAAAUUGUGUUUGAAAGUGUAGAAAUGAGCUCAAAGUCAGGUGAAAUCUACAUAUAUGUGAGGGAUCAUGGCCGAAGGGUUCACGGCCGUGAACCUCGUUCGCCGUCCGAAGGAGGUGGUCGCCGAGAAGCGAAAUUGCGGCCAAAUUUCACUGUCCGAGGGUUUGUGGCCCUUAUUCACGGUCUGAGGGUUUGCGGCCCUCGUAUGCGGUCUGAAGGGAAAGAAGAUAACGAAGGUGCGAAAGUUCUUGGUUUUAAGCAUUUCUCUUCUUAAUUCAACCACAAAAAUUUUAAGGAUUUUUAUCAAGCAAAGGUUUUUAUUCCAACCUUUAUAAAAACCCAUACAAUUAAAAGGACUUCAGUUGACCCAAGUUUGACUUUGGUUGACUAAGGUUGACUUUACAAGCAGUAAAAUAACAGGAUGUUACAUAAGUGAUGACGGGUGAAGUGACAAUCAAUCUCAAUGUGCUUCGUCUGCUCAUGGAAAACUGAAUUUUUCGCAAUUUGCAUCGCACUUUUUUUAUCACCAUGUAGGGAAGUAGGUGAAGAAAUGUGAACCCCAUACCUGUAAGAAGCCACCAUAACUAGAUAAUCUCAGAUGUAGUUACAACCAUAGCACGAUACUCAGCAUCCAUGGAAGAUCUAGAAACAACGUCCUUUUUCUUGCUCUUCCAAGAAGUGAGAGACUCUAUAAGAAAUGCAAAAAAUCCGGUGGUGAAUUUUUGAUCAUGACGAUCACCAUCCCAAUCAGCAUCACUAUAGGAAUGAUACUCAAGUAAUGAUGUCGAUGGAAACAAGAGAGUAUGAAACUGAGUGCCACGAAGAUAUAUCAUAAUAUGCAGUAUGGUCCCCCAAUGAACAAAAGUAGGAUCAAUAACAAACUAACUGACAACAUGAGCAACAUGAGCAAUUUCCGGAAGAGUAACUGUGAGAUAAACCAAACUUCCUACAAUAGUCUGGUAAAUAUUCGGAUCGUAUAAAGUCAAACAUAUAUAUAUAUAUAUAUAUAUAUAUAUAUAUAUUUAGUUUGAGAAAGAAGAUACCCUUUCUUAGACUGAGCUACCACAAUACCUAAGAAAUAAUGCAGCAAGCCCUAAUCCUUCAUAGAAAAUCGACGAGCUAGAUCAUGCUUCAAAGACUCAAUACUACCAUGGUCAUCAUCAGUAAUAAUAAUGUCAUCCACAUAUAAGGACAAAAGAAUAUGUCCUACACUUGAGCAUCUAAUAAACAAAGGUGAAUCAUGAUUACUCUGAACAAAUCCAAGAGAGGUAAUCACUAUUGAGAAUUUCUCAAACCAAAUGAGGUGCUUUCUUGGGACCAUACAAAGCUCUACAAAGCCGAAAAAUCUCACCCGGCUGGUGCUAAAUUCCUGGGGGAGGAGACAUACAAACCUCUUCAUGGAGAUCACCAUGCAAAAAGACAUUCUUGACAUCCAUUUGAAGGAUCUUCCACUAUCUAAUAAUUGAAAAUGCAAUCAUAGUACGUAAUGUCCUCAUCUUUACCAAUGGGGCAAAAGUCUCCUCAUAGUCAAAACCGUACUGUUGGGAAUACCCUUUUGCUCCAACACUGUCCUUGUACUGCUCAACAGACGGAUCAAAUUUUGUUUUUAUCUUGUACACCCAACGACAACCAAUCGUAUGUUUCCUAAUAGGAAGGGAAACCAAAUCGCAUGUAUGAGUCUGAUGAAGAGUAGUGAGUUCCUCAGCCAUAACAUUCUUCCAAAUUGGAUCCAAUACAGGUUCUCUGUACAAUUCAGGUUCAGACAGAUGCUCGAUGCUUCUUAUAAAAGAAGCAAAUGAUCCUGAGUAUGUAGAGUAGGCAUAAUCGGGAAGCUUAGUGGACUUAAUAGGACGAGUAGACCUCCUAAAGGGUGGUAGAGGUGGGUCUUCGAUCUCAACAGUCGAUGGUGAAGACUCAAGAGAAGUCAAGGAACUCUCAGAAGACUGGGGCUUGUCUUAAGCUAGAGGAUCAGGCGACAUAGAUGAAUCUCGAGCCUCUCUAUAUCCUCAUUAAAAGAAUCAAUAUAAGGAAGAUACGACUUGUUUACAUUAUAGGUUGUAGCAGGAAUUGACUAUAAAGGAAUAUGUUCCAAAAAGGUGGUAUGCCGGAAAACAUAUAACUCCUGACUCAUAGGAACAUAACAACAAUAUCCUUUUAUUCCAAUACCAUACCCCAAGAAUACACAAAUAGUAGAUUUUGGUCCCAACUUGUUCCUCUUAACAUGAGGACGAAGAACAAAACAAUUACAUCCAAAUAUUUGUAGAGCAGAGUAGUCUGGUAAGUAGCCAUAUAACUUCUCAAAAAGAGACAUUCAUGAAUUCAAUGCAAUAGGAAUACGAUUAAUAACAUAAACAACAGUUAAGACUGCUUCUCCCCAAAAGGCACUAAGAACCUGUGCAGAAAAGUGCAAUGAGUGGGACGUCUCAAAAAUAUGAUGGUAUUUCUAUUUUGCUACACUAUUUUGCUGAGGAAUAUUAGUAAAUUAUGACUGGUGUAUGGUACCAUCAGAAGCAAGUAACUGGGUACACUCAUUUGACUGUUGAGUUUUAACAGGAGCUCUAAAAUUAAUGUAAAAGCCAAGGAAAUUAGAUAUGUGUUUCGUAAGAUAAACCUGGUUAUAGUGAGUAUAAUCACCUAUAAAAGAUACAUAAUAGGCCAACCUACCCUUCGUGGAUACCAGUGUAGGAACCCAUACAUCAGAAUGAAUAAUAUCAAAAAGAGAAAUAGAGAAAGUCAUACUUUUACUGAAAGGUAAAGUAGAGAUCUUUUCUAGUUUACAACCACUACAAUAAAAAUAUCACAAGUGUUCAAAUCACCCAAAACACCACUAGAAGCUAGAAAACUCAAACAUGAUACAUAUACAUGUCCCAAAUGAGAAUGCCAAAGAUAAAAAUGAGACAACAAACGACUCAAAUGAAAAGAAGACAAAUCAAUGCUGGUGGGAGCAACAUUUAACAUUUUGAGAACCUCCAUGACAUAAAGUUCUCCAACCCUAUGGCUGAUCUUAAUCACCUUUUGAGUGUGUUGGUGAUGUAUAACAGGGACAUAAUCAGAAAAGAACACCCAACAACCAAAACUACACAACUGGCUGACCAAAAAAAUAUUCAAAGUGAGUUUGAGAAUGUAAUAAACAUCAGGGAGAGACAUAUAUGGAAUAGGAACAUACCUAACACCCUCGACUGUCAUAGAUAUAUCACUAGAAGACAUAACAGAGAUAGAUGACAUGUGUGAAAGAGAAGUAAACAAUGACAAAUAAGGAGACUUAUGAUGUGUUGCACCAGACUCUAAAAUCCAUAAAGAUAAAGGUAUACCUGAGGUACCAUAUUAAGUAGGACCAGAAUGGGAAAUAGAUGCAGACAUGGUAGUAGGAUUGGAGGCCAAAUACUGUUUAAAACUCUCAAAACCUUGGGAUACAAUGUAGAAGGUGGCAUGUUGCCAACUGCAUUAAUGUCAAUUGAUGGAGCAACAUCAACAACAACAACCUAUGAGGUGUCCAUGCAGAAGCACCGAAGGAACAUGGCUAAAAAUUCUGCUAACCAAACCUAUGUUGUUGUCCUAGCUGAGUCUGACCAGAUUUACCCUUGUUAACUAAAAAAGGACGGUGAGCUUUCCAAUGAUUUUUCUUAUUAUAAAAGGCACAUUCAUCAUAAGCUACCCUUGGAUUUUGACGAGACUGAUUAGUGGAAACAACAAGCACAACAGGAGUAGAUGUAGGAAUGCAGAUUUCUUUAGACUCUUUAUCCACGUGAGACUCGAUAUGACUAUCUUCAGCAAUCAACUCAUGAACAACAAAAUCCAAUGAGGGAAGAGGAGAACGAUGAAGAAUCGUUCCAUGUAGGCCUUCAAAAUCUGAACGCAACACCAUAAAAAACUAAACCAAAUGUUGUGCUUCCCUCUUGGCGAUAUAAGGCUCAAAGUCUUUUAACUCUUUAGAUUCAGUAAGAGCUAAUUGAUCCCACAAACCAAACAUAGCAGCAUACAAGCCUUGAAUUUUCAUAUCAUUUUUCUGAAGGGAACAAAUUUCAUAUUCUAACUGAUAUUGUUUAGCAAAGUUGGACUGAGUAUAUAGUCUCUCUAAAUGAUUCCAAACUUACUUUACUAUGUCAUAUUUAGCCAAUUGCAUACCAAUAAACUAUGUAACCGAAUUGUUAACCCAUGUAAUAACCUUGGAUUUAUCAUUCUCCCAAUCAUCAAUUAACAAAUCGAAGUUUAUAUCUUGAGGCACUAAAGGUUUGGCUUUAGUCCUAGUGAUAUAGCCCCAUAUAUUCUUCCCACAAAGGAAGUUCUUCAUAAAAUAGCUCCAAUAAGUGUAAUUCUUUUCAUCCAAUCAAGUACUGGUUGAAUAAAAGAAAUCGUCCUUUCCAGUCAUGAUGGCAAUAGAGAAAUAACCACAAUAAUGGACAAGUAAUCAGAGAACAAGAACAACAAACCAACAGAAGCAACCAAUUGAGUAGCAAGAAAUCGAACAACAAACCCUAGAAUUCAAACAUCAACAAAAAGAUUACAACAACAUCAAAUGAACACUAACAAGCAAACGAACGUCAAACAAAUCAGCUACAAUAAACCCUCUGCGCCAUAGAUGACUACGACAAAACCUCCUAACAACAUACCAAACCUUUACUCUUAUACUGUGACAUCCCCAAAAUCUCGGCCAGAAAAGACCGAUUUUUCAUUUAUGCUUUUAAAAUAUUUUCAGAGUAAAUCCUUUUGAUUUGAAAGAGUUGCGGAAUUUGUUCCCAAAAACAAAACAUGAUAAAACAAUCUUUACCAAAGCAUUUCAUAAAAGAAAUGUAUUUUCAUUAUAUUAUCAAAAAUCGGGGUGUCAUGUUCCGAUACAAACCAAUAAGCAUAAACGAUAACAUUACAAGUCAUUCAACAAAUAUAUACAUAUACAGACUUGUAAACAAAACAACUUGAUGGUUCAUCCAUCUUAUGCCCUCGCGCCACUUCCUGUAAUACAAAUUAAAACUGAGUGGGUCAGGCUUGGGAGCCUGGUGAGCAUAUAGGGUUUUCAACCCACAAUAAAUAAUCAUAUUUAAUUUCCACCAACCAACAAUAACCCAAUUACCCAUUCCCGUUAUUCUCACUUUAUGUCCAUAAAACAACUAACACAAGGGACCUAGUCUAAGAAUAUUUCAUCGGGGCGACAACACAUGCUUCGGGGGUUCCUCAGCAAUAUAAGUCAAAUAAGGCAACCAUGAGGGGGAUGAAGUACAGCGAAUGAACACCCAAGUUCAUUAACACCUACAGGUGGCGAACCUGCUAAUGUUUCCACAAGACUGUCUAGAAAAGCCCGUGGUCGUCAUCUAAACUCCGCUAGAUGACUAAAUCAAACAACAACGAGGCCUCUCAUCUGUUUAUUACACACCAACUAUCUACCCAUGUUCUACCCAACAUAUUAGUAGAUAAAAUAUACAUUUUUAUACAUAGUUUAAAAACCUGUAUAGCAUGCUUUAAUCAAUACAUAUUCCACAUAACAGAUGAGGCACACACACAUAACACGUAUUUCAUAGAAAACAAAUCAGAUCCAUGAGAUAGAAGAAAGUGAAUAUACAUUCACACAUAUAAACAACAAUAUACUUAAUACACUCAAACCAUACUUGUAUUAUUAUCGUGUUUAUGAAAGGUAGUAUACACUCACUUGAUCAGAAGAUGAUCGGACAGCACUACGACUUGCAGAAGUAGUAAUCCUCAGCAGAUCUGGAAGAUCUCUACAAAAAUCGAACUUCUCACGGAC